rnacentral:lncRNA from 1 species
AUGACCCAGUUAGUUCAGUCAUGCAACAGACUCAAAAGAGGUACCAGAUAUUUGGUGCUGGAGGAAAAUCCAGAGAGUGCCUUGGACCGCAAGAAGAUCCAACCAGUCCAUUCUCCAGGAAAUAGUGCCCGGCUCCUCACUGGAGGGAAGGAUAUUAGAGGCAAAGAUGAAGUAUUUUGGCCACAUCAUGAAAAGACAGGAAAGCUUGGAAAAGAUCAUGAUGCUGGGGGAAAUGGAAGGAAAAAGGAAGAGAGGCCGACCAAGGGGAAGAUGGAUAGACAGUAUCUUUGAAGUGACUGGCUUGACCUUGAAGGAACUGGGGGGGGGGGGGCGGCAGCUGACAGGGGACUCUGACAUGGACUGGUCCAUGAGAUCACGAAAAGUCGUAAAUGACUGAGUGAAUGAAAAAGAAGAUCAGAGAUUUAACUCCUACUGCAGUGCCAAGUAAGACUAGAAGGAACAGAGAAGAAUGGCUUAACCGAGGAAGGUGUACCCACAACAAAGGCCAAAACAAGGAAGCACUACCCGGGAUACCUUGUAGUAAUCUCUUAAAACUCCUCUCUGAUACUACUGCAAUUCUUGAUACAACAAAUAGUCCUCCAAGAAAUUUAGGAUUGUAGAACACAUUUACCACUGCUAGCCCACCAAAUUUCAGAACAUUCACUUAUCCACGGAUUUUUGGGGAAUUUUCAAAGUAUAAACACUUUUUAAAUAAUAAAUAAAAUACGUUCCUAGUUUGAAAAUUUUAUUUUGGUGGUGUAGUCCUUACUUUGAAAGUUGUUGUUCUACCCUAGAAACUUUGUUUGUGUGGAACAAACUAUGUUGAAUUGGUUGAGACUCGAAAAUGAGAUAUUCAUUGAAAAACUAUUGUGCUAUAGCUGAUGCCCCUCUUGCAAAAACAACAUUUUUGCAGUUUAAUGAACUUUUCCUAUGUUUUUAUAAUAGAACCAAUUAGGAAAUGACAUUUAUAAGCCAGGAACAAAAAUCAUAGUGUAGAAUAUUAACCAAUUUAUUGGAACUCUGGCUGGCUACGGAGGAGCAAAUCUCUCUCUCCUAU